AUUGAACGCUGGCGGCAGGCUUAACACAUGCAAGUCGAGCGGGGGAAGGUAGCUUGCUACCGGACCUAGCGGCGGACGGGUGAGUAAUGCUUAGGAAUCUGCCUAUUAGUGGGGGACAACAUCUCGAAAGGGAUGCUAAUACCGCAUACGUCCUACGGGAGAAAGCAGGGGAUCUUCGGACCUUGCGCUAAUAGAUGAGCCUAAGUCGGAUUAGCUAGUUGGUGGGGUAAAGGCCUACCAAGGCGACGAUCUGUAGCGGGUCUGAGAGGAUGAUCCGCCACACUGGGACUGAGACACGGCCCAGACUCCUACGGGAGGCAGCAGUGGGGAAUAUUGGACAAUGGGGGGAACCCUGAUCCAGCCAUGCCGCGUGUGUGAAGAAGGCCUUAUGGUUGUAAAGCACUUUAAGCGAGGAGGAGGCUACUCUAGUUAAUACCUAGGGAUAGUGGACGUUACUCGCAGAAUAAGCACCGGCUAACUCUGUGCCAGCCGCCGCAGUAA
rnacentral:rRNA from 1 species